AGUGGCGCCCGUGUGAGGAAUACAUCGGAAUCUACUUUUUCGUGGGGGAUAACGUAGGGAAACUUACGCUAAUACCGCAUACGACCUACGGGUGAAAGCAGGGGAUCUUCGGACCUUGCGCGAUUGAAUGAGCCGAUGUCGGAUUAGCUAGUUGGCGGGGUAAAGGCCCACCAAGGCGACGAUCCGUAGCUGGUCUGAGAGGAUGAUCAGCCACACUGGAACUGAGACACGGUCCAGACUCCUACGGGAGGCAGCAGUGGGGAAUAUUGGACAAUGGGCGCAAGCCUGAUCCAGCCAUACCGCGUGGGUGAAGAAGGCCUUCGGGUUGUAAAGCCCUUUUGUUGGGAAAGAAAUCCAGCUGGCUAAUACCCGGUUGGGAUGACGGUACCCAAAGAAUAAGCACCGGCUAACUUCGUGCCAGCAGCCGCGGUAAUACGAAGGGUGCAAGCGUUACUCGGAAUUACUGGGCGUAAAGCGUGCGUAGGUGGUUGUUUAAGUCUGUUGUGAAAGCCCUGGGCUCAACCUGGGAACUGCAGUGGAAACUGGACGACUAGAGUGUGGUA
rnacentral:rRNA from 1 species